AUGAUGACAGAGGGAGAGUUCGCAAGUUUCAAAGCGGCGCCGAAGGAGCAAGCACGACAUGUGUGAAUCUCUCAGGCAAAAGUACUUCUGUUUGACG
rnacentral:ncRNA from 2 species